rnacentral:rRNA from 1 species
UACGAAGGGGGCUAGCGUUGCUCGGAAUCACUGGGCGUAAAGGGCGCGUAGGCGGCCGUUUAAGUCGGGGGUGAAAGCCUGUGGCUCAACCACAGAAUUGCCUUCGAUACUGGACGGCUUGAGUCCGGAAGAGGUCAGUGGAACUGCGAGUGUAGAGGUGAAAUUCGUAGAUAUUCGCAAGAACACCAGUGGCGAAGGCGGCUGACUGGUCCGGAACUGACGCUGAGGCGCGAAAGCGUGGGGAGCAAACAGG